CAGCCUGACACAGUCACACACACAAAACUGGUUUAGGAACAACUGAAAAUACAUGAAGAACAGAACAAGGUGUUGACCUGGCCUCCAGAUUCACUAGAUCCCAAACUGAUCCAAGUAUCCACACAGGCCCCUCUCCUGAACUCAUGAGACCCAAAGCCUAUCGAUACAACCGAUUUCCUUUCUGAUCUGAUACUGAUUAAAAUUCAUUCGAUACCAAUACUUUGUGCAAAUACACCCAAUGUGUCUGGUAAACACUACUAAAAUAGUAGUGUAUUUACAAAUGAUAAAUAGCAAUACUUUAUUCAGUGUCCAGUAGCUUGUGCACAAACAUACACAGACAUCAACAUAACACACCAACAAAAUCCACAGAAUCGACAGGAGUUAAGUUCAGUCUGAUGGCUGCACCAUCAGACUGAACUUAACUAUAAUAACAAUGGAAACUUGCCUCUUAAUUCUGACACUGUGCUCUCCUCUUCCGUCCUUUUGUAGUUUAUAGUUACCUUACACUGUGUUCCUCUUAAUAAUAUACACAUUACCUCGAAUGGCUGAAGUAUCAAAAGUAUUGAUAUUUUGAUUUGAGAAAUCAAUUUUCUGGUAUCAGUAUCGAUAUUUCAGUAUCGAUCUGCACAUCCAUCCAUUCUCUGAUGAGUCACAACUGUUUUGGAGUUCAUAGUGUUGCUCCUGAUCAUUGUAUAUCACAUCAUAUGAGCAUGUCAUGUAACAUGCAUCAGUGUUAUUUAGUACUCUUAUUUGUAUCAUGAUUAGAUGUAUAUGUAAGAUUUAGUCAGAUGUUUGCAUCAUUAUGUUCCUUCUUCUCUUCUCUUCUCUUCUCUUCUCUUCUCUUCUCUUCUCUUCUCUUCUCUUCUCUUCUCUUCUCUUCUCUUCUCUUCUCUUCUCUUCUCUUCUCUUCUCUUAUGUUUUUUCUCUCUACCCAUCCGGCCUCAAGCAGACGUCCCUCUCAUAAGAGCUCAACAUUUCUUCCUCUUAAAAAUCAUUUUGAGACAAUGUGGAUUCUUCUUCAUACUGUAUAAAUAAAUGUAAUUCUGGGUGGAGUUUGCAUGUUGAGGUGUGAGGCUGUGUCUGUGGUUUGUCUCUGGGUACUCUGGUUUCUUCCAGCAACCCCCACAACCCUAGUGAGGAGAGGCGGUAGUAGAAGAUGAGAUGAGAUUGUUGUGCUGCCGUGUGAAUGCUAUUAUCUCUCUCUGAUGCUUACUGUGGUUUCCUGCCAUGAAGUAUAUAACGUGUCAGUGACUUGUACGCUGACACCAGAAAACUUCCUGGAGGAGUAGUAUUCAGCUUCAUCAUGACUAGACACCUUCUGUUUAUUGUCCUCAUCUGUAAGUUAAACAUCUCAUCAUUAACGUUGGCUCUUACACAACGAUACAGGAACACUAUUACUUACGUUGGUAAAGUUAAUACGUUAUAUGUCUCACUAAGUAUUUUUAUCUGCAGCGUAUAUUAACAGUUUUACAUUAGUUGCAUCUUAGCCGCAGGUUAAAUAUUCCUAUGCUGUGGUGAAGUUUCUUGUGAGUGACUAGUGCAUCUAUUUCACUUGUUUAAAAAUCUUUCUCUGACAGAUUCUUUUCAUCAGAUCGAAGCUCUGCCUCCUCCUAAACUGACAGUGACUAGAUCAGUGAUCACAGAGAUAGACUCAGUCACACUGACCUGUGAGCCUCCAUCGUCUGUUCCUGUGUCUCAGUGUCAUUUCUACACUUUAUUUGGAUCUAAAGGAAAUCUUAAAGACUUCCCCUGUGUGAAGACACUGACAGGAAUUGAGCUUCUGGACAUAAUAAACAGCCUACCACUUGGUGUGGUUACAGUCAGCUGUUUUUAUGAAGUCCACACUGAAGGGUCUGAAUACAGUGACUCCAGCACCAUCACCAUACAGACUUCUCCUCCACCCAAACUCACCGUCGAUCCACCAGUGAUCACAGAGACAGACUCAGUCACACUGAGGUGUGAGCCUCCAUCGUCUGUUUCUGUGUCUCAGUGUCAUUUCUACACUGUUAGUGGACGGACAGUCAGAGACUUCCCAUGUCUGAAGACACUGACAGGAAGUGAGCUGCUGCAGAUGGCAAGUCUCACAUCACCUGCUGAAGUCAAAGUAAGAUGUUGUUACACUGUAAAGCAUCAAUCUCCAUACAGUGUUAUAUCCUACAUCACCGUACAAAGAACAAACGGAGACAAAGAUAGAAUCACUGCCUUAACAACAUCCAGCCCCAGUAAAAAGUCACCUGCAGGCAGAGAUGAAGCAGAUUCGACUGCUUCUAUGCCACAUAACACUGUGAGCUCCACCACCUCAGUUUCCCAGACAACAAUGAACCCAGCAUCAGGUGACACACUUGCUAAA